CAAACUCGAAGUUGCUGAUGUCCCUCAUCAGUCACCCGAUAGCUGGUUCGAUAGUGGAGUUUUCACGAUGACCUUUCUUGAACACUGGAGUGGAAGAUUGGCUAUGCGAAUUACAAAGGAAAAUAUUACGAAGUAUCGAAUGCUGUACACCGCGCGGCUUUGUAGUUCGGAGCAUAAUACAAAGUUUGUAGACACUAUUUCCGCCAUGCUUGGGAGUAAAUAGUAAAUGGUUGCAAGAGCAUCUUCAACAGGGAUGUAAUUUGUUGUUUCUGCUAUGCAUAAUAGCAAAGGAUAUUUUUUGAAACAGUUACUGAUUUUGUUUUUCUGGACAC